GCUCCGUUGGUGAACCAGCGGAGGGAUCAUUACCGAGUUUACAACUCCCAAACCCAAUGUGAACGUUACCAAACUGUUGCCUCGGCGGGGUCACGCCCCGGGUGCGUCGCAGCCCCGGAACCAGGCGCCCGCCGGAGGAACUAACCAAACUCUUUCUGUAGUCCCCUCGCGGACGUUAUUUCUUGCAGCUCUGAGCAAAAAUUCAAAAUGAAUCAAAACUUUCAACAACGGAUCUCUUGGUUCUG
rnacentral:misc_RNA from 1 species